CGUAACGGGCACGGACAGAGGUGCACGGGGGAUUGCGUUCUGGAAGAGAAGAUCCCUGGCUGACUGUCGGCAUCGUCUUGUGGGUCCUACCGCCUGGCUCUGGGUUUGAACGUCCACCUGGUCCUGGGUUCCUGGUUCUGGCUGCGGGUCUGCUCUACCAGGUUCUGGCUGCUGGUGUGCUCCCCCGGGUUCUUGCAUCUGGCUCUGGGUUGCGUGGUUGCUGGCGUUGCGAUGUCCGCCCCCGAGGGUUACCCAUGCUCACAGAGCAGUUCCUUUUGAAGUGUCCUCCGGCUUUGGUCGUAUUUUUGAAAGAGGGCGAAUGUAAGUCACUUGAAGAUCCCUGGCUGACUGUCGGCAUCGUCUUGUGGGUCCUACCGCCUGGCUCUGGGUUUGAACGUCCACCUGGUCCUGGGUUCCUGGUGCUGGCUGCGGGUCUGCCCUACCAGGUUCUGGCUGCUGGUGUGCUCCACCGGGUCCUUGUCUCUGGCUCUGGUUGCGUGGUUUCUGGCGUUGUCCGCCCCCGAGGGUUACCCACGCUCACAGUAAAGUUUCUUAUUACAACCUUGUA